AGGUGAUCCAGGAAGAGUCGACCCAACAGAGGACUACGAUGAUGCCAUCACUGCUGGACCCAUCCCUGAUAACGUGGAUGAGGAUGAAGCUGAGAAUUAUGAUGAUGACAUUACAGCUGAUCAGAAGUCAGUUAUACUGACAGAGGACGUGUCCGAGAACUAUGACGAUGCAGUUACAACUGAAACAAACACAAACAUCAUCACAG